UGUCCUUUUGAUAAUAAUUUAAGGUCUGAUCUGCCCACUGAAUUUUAAAUGGCCGCAGUAUAUUGACUGUGCUAAGGUAGCAUAAUAAUUAGUUUUUUAAUUGAAAGCUGGUAUGAAUGAUUUGAUGAGAUAUUAACUGUCUCAUUAGAAAUUUAAAUGAAUUUUAUUUUUAAGUUAAAAAGCUUAAAUAUAAUUAAAAGACGAGAAGACCCUAUAGAGUUUAAUUAUUUGAUUAAUAUUUAAAUUUCUUUAUAUUAAAAAUUGAUAUUAUUUAAGUAAUUUAAUUGGGGUGAUUAAAAAAUUUGAUAAACUUUUUAAUUUAAAACAUUAAUUUAUGAAUUGUUGAUCCAUUGAUUAUGAUUAUAAGAUUAAAUUACCUUAGGGAUAACAGCGUAAUUAUUUUAGAGAGUUCUAAUCGAUAAAAUAGAUUGCGACCUCGAUGUUGGAUUAAAAUUAAAUUUAGGUGUAGAAGCUUAAAUAUUAAGUCUGUUCGACUUUUUAAAUUUU
rnacentral:rRNA from 1 species